GCCAGGCUGAUAGGAUGUCCACAUUAAGUUCAGCAUCAGUAUGGUGAUCUCCAGGGAGCAGGGGACCACCUGGUUGCCUAAAGAGGUGUGAACUGGCCCAGGUUGGAAAUAGAGCAGAUCCAAACUCCCACAUGCUGAUCAGUAGUGGAAUCGUGCCUGUGAGAGGC
rnacentral:SRP_RNA from 1 species